CGGGGGGUCUGGGCGGGCGUUUUUAACUUUGGAGGCCACCUAUCUGUUGGCUGGCCAUGUACAUAUUCUUACGGUUGAUGCUUCCUGCCCAAAGGACAUACUUGGGGUGUGAGGAGUGCUGUCUACUUCUUGGGGCCCUGAGGAUGACCCUGCAACCCCCAUAACACCCUGCUUCCCACCGGUUUUUAGCGUCCUAUCCUCCUGUUGUGCAUCACCCCCAACAUUCCAGACCUGUUGCCUACUCCCUUCUGUACACGCAGCUCAUCAGCACUAGUCGCUGUCUCUGUGAUUUCUGUAAAAGUUGCCAUAAAACUGAAAUUUUGCCUGGGAAAACGGCCUCCCUGUGGGAGGUUGGAAUUCACGACGAGAGAGCUAAUGAAGUCUUUAAGAUUUGGGCAACUGGAAAAUACACGAAGUAACCUGGGUUUUUCCAUGUUCCCAGCAUCCUCUGCAGGACACGCCCGCUUGCACCAGCCACUCUGAAGGUCCGCCCAGAGCUUCCCUUCUCCACGCCCCCACUUAUUACCCUGGAGCUUCACUAGCCACGCCCCCAUCCGUCACCCAAGAGCUUCCCUGGCCACGCCCCCACCCAUCACUCAAGCGCUUCCCUGGCCCCGGCCCCACCCACCCAGAAACUUUCCAUAGCCAUGCCCCCAUUCCCUCCGCCACAAACUUCUAUGUCAUCGGGUAUCCUGGGAACACAAAAGAGGAUCCUGCGUUGCCUGAGGAAGAGAGCUGGGGUUGAUGGGUUUCCUAAAGAAAUCAGGCAGAUUCUUUUACCAUUUGGGCCACGAGGGAAACCCAAACACACAUCCAGAGAGAAAGGCAUGAGAGCAGGGGACGCUGGUUCGAUCCCUAGUCCGGGAAGAUCCCACAUGGCAAGGAGCAGCUAAGUCCAUGCACCACAGCUCGUGGGCCUGUGCUCUAGAGCCCGUACUCCGCAACCAGAGAAGUCACUGCAGUCAGAAGCCCAUGCCCCCCAACUGGAGACUCAGCCCUGCUCCCCGCAACUAGAGAAAGCCUGCAUGCAGCAGUGAAGAUGCAGCACAGCCAG
ensembl:lncRNA